AGUGAACGCUGGCGGUAGGCCUAACACAUGCCAGUCGAACGGCAGCACAGUAAUAGCUUGCUCUUACGGGUGGCGAGUGGCGGACGGGUGAGGAAUACAUCGGAAUCUACUUUUUCGUGGGUGAUAACGUAGGGAAACUUACGCUAAUACCGCAUACGACCUACGGGUGAAAGCAGGGGAUCUUCGGACCUUGCGCGAUUGAAUGAGCCGAUGUCGGAUUAGCUAGUUGGCGGGGGAAAGGCCCACCAAGGCGACGAUCCGUAGCUGGUCUGAGAGGAUGAUCAGCCACACUGGAACUGAGACACGGUCCAGACUACUACGGGAGGCAGCAGUGGGGAAUAUUAGACAAUGGGCGCAAGCCUGAUCCAGCCAUACCGCGUGGGUGAAGAAGGCCUUCGGGUUUUAAAGCCCUUUUGUUGGGAAAGAAAAGCAGCAGGUUAAUACCCCGCUGUUCUGACGGUACCCAAAGAAUAAGCACCGGCUAACUUCGUG
rnacentral:rRNA from 1 species